AAAUAAUAAUAAUAAUAAUAAAAAUAAAUAAAUAAAUAAAUAAAGUGUAAUGAUUUUAUGUUAGACCAAAAAAAAAAAAGGCCGAAACAGAGCAUAGAAGAAAAAAUACACGCCGAUCGCUGAGAAAUACCUCGGAUGAAAGCGUCUCUCUCUGAUUGAUGUGAUUUUGGUGCCCGAAUGAGCUUCAUCACAUUGUGCCGAAAGAAUCAUUUAGAAGUCCAAGUUUUGAGUACAACUCUCCAAUGUGCAAAAAUAAAAGGUUCCUUGGCUAAAAUUGAGGAAAUAUCCCUAUCGAAUGUCAUUUGGACUGCUGCAAGUGUAUAGAGGAGGUUUUGCAAAGUAAUGGAAAGGAUUUGGAACUUGGGAAGCUUUGGUUGAGCUACAUCCGUACGGUUGCAUAUUAAUCAAAUACGAGUUCUACACGGAUUGGCUACAAUUCUGCCUUGAGUAUAUAUACGAUCCCAUGGUACAUUUUCUGCCUUCUGUUUAUACAAACCAUUUAUAUUUGCCAUUGUGUAUUUAUUAUGACUACAUUGAUCUAUUAGUUUUGAUGCAACAGUUUUAUAUGAAAUACAUUGGCAAAGUUGUAGCAUAAUGGUUGAAGUGCUACUAGCAUGACAUCUUAAAAGGAGCGGUUGGAUCUUUAUUGUUCGCCCAUUAACAAAAAGAACUAUGUUAAAUGCGGUUUCAAAAGCUGGGUCCCGGUUUAUUUAGGGUAAGGGUUAAAACCAUAAUAUCAUAAAACCCCGUUGUACUAUGAAAUUUAUGCAUAUAACCCCCUUGUACUAAGUAAACCUCGUGAAAUCCCUUUUAACUCCUGUUAGUUUGCCAUCAGACACCAACAUGCUUACUCUCCAUGCGACCAAAAUGCCCAUGUAUAUAUACCCUUCUCAUUUUUUAAAUUAAAAUUAAAACCGUAAUAUCAAUUUUUUCAUUUCACAAUUUGCAUAACAAAUCUGUCGCGGAAUGGGAUAAAAUGAUCACUUUAGUCAGAACAAGGGGAUGUUAUGAUUUUACCCUUAAGAGUAAAUGAUGUUAGAGGGUAGUUCUGGUUAUAUGUUUCAUAAAGAGGAUAUAGCCAGUUUUGUGAACCAUUUAGCUGCAGUUUGUUUCCAACAAAGAAGCAUUAGGACUCCAGUCAUUGGGCGGUUUGGUCCUAUGUCAAGUUAGUUCACUGGCCCCAAGCUCGCCGUUAAAAAAUUGGGACUUUGCCAACAGGACAAGAUAAUAAAUGGCGACGGCACAGAAAUGAUACUCUCCUCGUCCCAAUGUCCCUUUUCGAUAUGGAAAAUCCUAAACCUACCAAGAAAUGAUACUCUCCUCGUCCCCAAUGUCCCUUACGGGGGCCUUUGAGCUCUUACCUCACUCUGGAAGAUUCAAGAGAUACCAAGAGAACAAUACACCAAAUGUAUGUCUACUUUAAAAUUAGAAUAUCGGGAGAGUACAAUCAUUUGGCGGAGAUUUGAGUUCUCACCCCUUUAAUAACUAGAGAGUUAGGAGUUAUUGGGGUUUGGGGAGAGGGGAUUCGAACCUAAAAAUAUAGGGUAGGGAUACUUAAGGUCUGACCAUUUAUCACUCGAACAACACUGUCACACCUUAGCUCUUAUUUCUAAAAGAUUGAACAGAUAUCUUUUAGAGUGAGAGGUAAGAGCUAAGGUGUGGCGGUGUUGUUCGAGUGGUCAAUGGUCAGACCUUAAGUAUCCCUACCUUAUAUUUUUAGGUUCGAAUCCCCUUUUUCCAAACCCCCCAAUAACUCCUAACUCUCUAGUUAUUAAAGGGGUAAGAGUUCAAAUCUCCGCCAAAUGGUUGUACUCUCCAGAUAUUCUAAUUUUUAAGUAGACAUAUUUUCAGAGUGAGGUAAGAGCUCAAAGCCCCUCCCCCUGGUGCGGGUAAAGUAAACAUUCAAGACAAAUAUUUUAGGACAACCGAAAAAAGAAAAGAUGAAUUAUUAUAUUAGAAAGGAGGACGUAUCAAAAUAAGUGUAUUUCAAGUUACCAUUUCGCCAGUAUAUAUGCAACACAUUCAUUGUUGUUACCUUCUGAAAAAAAAAAAAAAAAAAAAAAUCACAUUCAUUAUUGUUCAAAUGAAUGCUAAAUUCAAAACUUUGUCCAAAGGGUUACGAUCUAUUUUGUAUCCUGUCUCUUCGUUUUAAAAAUAAAAUGAGACAAACUUUCCAAAUCCAGUGGGAAAGAGAUACAAAAAUGAUAUAAAGCAUGAUAAUACUUUACAUGAAUUAUUGAAAUGUGUAAUGCAUGUGUGAAUGUUCAUGAUGCAUGUGAUCGUAACAUGGAGGAAGAGAUACCAGAGUUGGGGAUGUGUGUGAGAGAGACUAAUGUGAUCUGGAUCACUCCUACUACUUUUAUUCUUUGUAAAAUAUUAGGUACAAUCAUUCACACAUUUUAUUCAAUGUGGAACCACACCUUCCAAAAUUGCAUCAACAAUUGCAAGUUAUACAACAAGGGUAUUUUUAUUUUAUUUUUAAAAAUUAAUUUUUUUAAAAGAAAUUUGUAGAAACAACAUUACAAUUAGAGCACAGGGAGUUGAGUAAUUUUGUAUUUUUUAAAAAAUAUAUAUAUAUAUAUAUAUAUAUAUAUAUAUAAAGUUUAAAUCGCUCAUAAUCAAAGUGUAAAAAAAUAAAAUUUAAAUCACACAAAAUGAGAACAUGAGAACCAAAGUACGUCGGAGGCAAAAUGUGUGACUGGUCAGCUAACUCAUUUGGAUAAUCAAGCGAAAAAAAAAAAAUCAUUUGGCCCAGCAUCGCAGGGUAUUUAGCAUUUUCAAUUAACAAUGGCAAAAACAAAUGAAUAAAAAAAUAAAAAAUUAACAAUGGUACUCUCUAGUAGGACCUAGGAAGGCUAGGAUCUGGCCCAGUGGUGAGGGGUUGGUUGCCCAGUGAAUCGGCAAUGCAUUCCAGCUCACACAUUCGCACCGCCGAGAUCUUCGACUUUUCAGGUCGAAUGGCCCUCGUGUCAUGUCCCAUUCAGGUGGACCCACGUCGGUGGCGUACGGAAAAGGUCGGAUUCGAACCUUCGCGAGAUUGGGACCCAGCCUCCCACGUGACGUCAGGUGCUGAUCACCUAAACGCUAGGUGGUACGACACGUAUAAAAAUAUGAAUGGUUGGUAUUCGCGAUAAUUCCGGGACUAGAAGGAACUGUUGGUACUGUGCGUGCGAGAACUCCAGAAGGAACCAACAGUUCACCGUUUGAUAAGUCUACUUCUCGUUGACAAUACAUUGGAUGGACGGUUG